rnacentral:rRNA from 1 species
GUGCCAGCAGCCGCGGUAAUACGUAGGGGGCGAGCGUUGUCCGAAUUUACUGGGCGUAAAGCGCGUGUAGGCGGCUCUUUAAGUGAGAUGUGAAAUCCCGUGGCUCAACCACGGAACUGCAUUUCAAACUGGAGGGCUUGAAUUUGGGAGAGGAAAGUGGAAUUCCUGGUGUAGCGGUGAAAUGCGUAGAUAUCAGGAGGAACACCCGUGGCGAAGGCGGCUUUCUGGCCCAACAUUGACGCUGAGACGCGAAAGCUAGGGGAGCGAACGGGAUUAGAUACCCGGGUAGUCC